rnacentral:rRNA from 1 species
GCCCCCCUAUACCUAUGGGGGGUGCAACCUGCUCAGUGGCUGCAAAUAAAUAAACUAAAUACAGUUAAAUAGCCGCGGUAACUCUGACCGUGAUAAAGUAGCAUAAUCACUUGUCACUUAAUUAGUGAAUGGAAUGAAUGGUUAAACGAAUCCUACACUGUCUCAAUAAGAAACCCUAUAAAAUUGGAAUUGUAGUGAAGAUACUACACUUAGAUUGCAAGACGAAAAGACCCUAUUGAGCUUUACUGGAUACUUAUAAUUACAAGCUAAGAUAGUAAAUAUAUAAAAAUAUUAAUUGUAAGUAAGACAGUUUGGUUGGGGCGACCACCUCUAAAAUAGUAACAGAGGAGAUCUAAAGGUAUUAUUUAUGAAUACAUGCUUAACUGAAUAGCUAUAGCUUUAACAGAUAUAAAACAUAGGACAUAGUGACCCGUUAUAUUAAACUUAUAUAUAACGACUACAGAAAAAGUUACCAUAGGGAUAACAGGGUAAUAUUUUCUAAGAGUUCUAAUCGACGAAAAUGUUUGCCACCUCGAUGUUGAAUUGUGAUAUCCUAGGGGUGCAGCAGCUCCUGAGGGUUG